CUCUCCCUGUCUGAGGCCACAGAUCAAAAUGAGCCAAAGCUUCUUCCAGCCAUAAAAUGUAAGUGGUCUUAAGUCUGACAUCUUGGACAUUUCCAGGUCUAGACAUGAGUGGCGAGUCCCAUUAGCAAAGUGGUCUUCUUUGCGUCCCAGUGAUAUAACGCUCCUAUUCAUAGCUCCGCCAAAUGUGAUAUAGAGGACUUUAAAGUUUGACAUUUUUAUUCAAGGAAAGCUAUUACUGACCCAGGACUGCUUCUUGCCUGGAGAGCAAUUCCACAUCUUUGGAGCAGACGUUUCCUUGACAGGUGAUUUCAUUUCUUCUUCUCCUCAAGCAUUAUUCAGCCUGACGGCUGCCUUUAAAUCCACACUAUAGUAACCUAGUUGAAAAGAACCUGGAAAAAUAAGCUAAGACAGCCAGACAAAGGGAGGUGUAGGGGAGCGGGGAGAAACAAAGAUGAGAAGAAAAAGAAAGCUGCCACACGCUGCAGUGAGCUGUCAGUAUAAACCUAAAAGACAUGUCAAGGCUCAUGGAUUCCCUUGUGAAAGCAAACGGAUGAUCUCUGCAUCAUUUAUCAAGUGCUGCAGGUUGG